AAAAAUUAGUAGAUAAUCUUGAAAGUAUAAAAGAAAUAUGGGCUCAUGAAACAGAACUUCCAGAUAAUUUGCCCCUCAAAGAUAAUCAACAAAGGACUGUGAAUAAUUUUUGAAAGCCUUUUUGAGGAAGCAGAGAAGGUUAGUGCCAAAUGCUUGUCCACUAAACAGAAGAAACAGGGAGAUGUAAAUAUAAAAUUGUGGGAAUAUGGACUCAAAGAUUAUUUUAGAAGUUACUCUGACUUCUAAAGUGCAAGACAGCAGUUUCAGAAAUCCAUCAAAAGGGGGUGGAGAAUACCUUCAGAAUUAUGAAAAAUUGUUGAUACAAAGGAUGUAGAGUUAAAGUCAAAGAUCAAAAAAAAAAUAAUACUCUAUGCCCUUGUCAGGUCAGGGUCACAGACUAGGAAGUGCUAAAUCUAAAAUAAUUUCUAAAGCAAAGAGUGUCAAAAUUGAAAAUAAAAGUACUUAGCUAUUUUACUGAGCAAUUUAGAACCAAUCACUGGUAUCUAUAUCAGGUUAGUGAAUGGACAAAGGACUGUCUAAAUAUUAAUUUCUCAUAAGGUGAGCCACAUCAAAGUCUUCAUUUAAACAUAACAUUGAUCUCAUGAAGCCAUCCCAUUGCCUUGGCAACAGCUUUUCCUUUCCUUGGAUUUCUAGAUUAGGUGCUCAUUUUGGAAGAAUCAGAUUUGCUGAAUGCUGUAAUCAUUUAGAGACCCCAGAA
rnacentral:lncRNA from 1 species